rnacentral:rRNA from 1 species
UACGAAGGGGGCUAGCGUUGCUCGGAAUCACUGGGCGUAAAGGGUAGGUAGGUGGUCUCAUUUGUCUGGGGUGAAAGCCUUGAGCUUAACUCAAGAAGUGCCCCAGAAACGGGUGAGACUGGAGUCUGGAGAGGGUCGUGGAAUUCCCGGUGUAGCGGUGGAAAUGCGUAGAUAUCGGGAGGAACACCUGUGGCGAAAGCGGGCUCACUGGACCACAACUGACGCUGAGGCGCGAAAGCCUAGGGGAGCAAACAGG